GGCGUAGGCGGCCUAUCAAGUCCGAUGUGAAAUCUCCCGGCUUAACUGGGAGGGUGCAUCAGAAACUGAUAAGCUAGAGUGCAGCAGAGGAAAGUGGAAUUCCCGGUGUAGUGGUAAAAUGCGUAGAUAUCGGGAGGAACACUAGUGGCGAAGGCGGCUUUCUGGGCUGCAACUGACGCUGAGGUCCGAAGGCGCGGGGAGCAAACA
rnacentral:rRNA from 1 species